GAUGAACGCUGGCGGCGUGCCUAAUACAUGCAAGUCGAGCGAACAGACGAGGAGCUUGCUGCUUUGACGUUAGGGGCGGACGGGUGUGUAACACGUGGAUAACCUACCUAUAAGACUGGGAUAAUUUCGGGAAACCGGAGCUAAUACCGGAUAAUAUUUUGAACCGCAUGGUGCGAUAGUGAAAGACGGUCUUGCUGUCACUAAUAGAUGGAUCCGCGCUGGAUGAGCUAGUUGGUAAGGUAAAGGCUUACCAAGGCAACGAUGCAUGGCCGACCUGAGAGGGUGGUCGGCCACACUGGAACUGGGACACGGUCCAGACUCCUACGGGAGGCCGCAGUAGCGUAUCUUCCGCAAUGGGCGAAAGCCUGACGGAGCAACGCCGCGUGAGUGAUGAAGGUCUUCGGAUCGUAAUGCUCUGUUAUUAGGGAAGAACAUAUGUGUAAGUAACUGUGCACUUCUUGACGGUACCUAAUCAGAAAGCCACGGCUAACUACGUG
rnacentral:rRNA from 1 species